GCAGGGGUGGCGGAGCGGUCAAACGCGUCAGGUUCAGGGCCUGAUGACUUAGUGUCUUCUAGAGUUCAAAUCUCUACCCCUGCAC
rnacentral:tRNA from 1 species